CUCCCUCUCUCUCUAACCCCUCAUUUUCUCACUCUAUAUCCAUCUUUAUGCAAUAAAUGUCUUCCACAUUUUAAGCUUGUUUUUAGAGUGAUUAAAGUGAGAUUUUUAUGAAGCCAUAGGUAAGGAAGUUGAUGAGUUGAGGAGAGCUUUUAAUUGAGACCAAUCUUGCAAGGGGCUAGGAAUUUCGAAUUUGGGGGCUGUUUUGAAGAUCUUGCUUGGUUGAGGAUACGGAAAGGAAGAGGCGGAAGACAUUUCCCCACAGGCUUAGACAAGACUUGACAGACUUUCUUGUGUUAAUUUUCUAUUAUAUAUACAAGUUUUGUAAAACUUUAAACUUGUUUUGUAUCUCUAUCGUAAGCUUAUGUUUUGGGACUGUAAUCGGAUGUAUUGUUUCAUGUAAAUGAACUUUUGGUUUUUCGUCUA